UGCAAGUCGAGCGAAUGGAUUAAGAGCUUGCUCUUAUGAAGUUAGCGGCGGACGGGUGAGUAACACGUGGGUAACCUGCCCAUAAGACUGGGAUAACUCCGGGAAACCGGGGCUAAUACCGGAUAACAUUUUGAACCGCAUGGUUCGAAAUUGAAAGGCGGCUUCGGCUGUCACUUAUGGAUGGACCCGCGUCGCAUUAGCUAGUUGGUGAGGUAACGGCUCACCAAGGCAACGAUGCGUAGCCGACCUGAGAGGGUGAUCGGCCACACUGGGACUGAGACACGGCCCAGACUCCUACGGGAGGCAGCAGUAGGGAAUCUUCCGCAAUGGACGAAAGUCUGACGGAGCAACGCCGCGUGAGUGAUGAAGGCUUUCGGGUCGUAAAACUCUGUUGUUAGGGAAGAACAAGUGCUAGUUGAAUAAGCUGGCACCUUGACGGUACCUAACCAGAAAGCCACGGCUAACUACGUGCCAGCAGCCGCGGUAAUACGUAGGUGGCAAGCGUUAUCCGGAAUUAUUGGGCGUAAAGCGCGCGCAGGUGGUUUCUUAAGUCUGAUGUGAAAGCCCACGGCUCAACCGUGGAGGGUCAUUGGAAACUGGGAGACUUGAGUGCAGAAGAGGAAAGUGGAAUUCCAUGUGUAGCGGUGAAAUGCGUAGAGAUAUGGAGGAACAC
rnacentral:rRNA from 1 species